CAGCUCUCUACCAAUCAGCUCUGAAUGUGGUUUCUCCUUACUUGUGAAGGCUGUGAGGAUCGUACUGGCAGAGGACACUGACAGGCUCCUAUUCAGUAGGUGAAAGUUUUGGCACGGUGGUGGAGAUUUGCACAACAUUUGCAGCGAUUAUGCCCGCAUCUAUAAGCGCCUGUGGUGGUGAGGAAAUUCACAGCAGGUCUAAAUAAUGUGACAAAUUGGAAGACACAGAGCCUAUCCCAGAUACAAUAGGGCGCCCUGGUGGAUUUUCGGUAUUUUUAUGAACCUUUGUAAGUUUUUCUAGAUCGUGUGCGACCAUGCUAAGAAAAGUAUCAAGGUAACUGCCUCUCGAUUGGAGGGGAUAGAAGUUCGAUUUUGGUUUAAGGUCAGUGUGUAUAGGUGCUGGUACCAUAGAU